rnacentral:pre_miRNA from 1 species
UUAGUACUCCCUCUGUCCGGAAAUACUUGUCAUUGAAAUGGAUGUAUCUAGAUGUAUUUUAGUUCUAGAUACAUCCAUUUUCAUGACAAGUAAUUCCGGACGGAGGGAGUAUUUU